rnacentral:rRNA from 1 species
AACGAACGCUGGCGGCAUGCCUAACACAUGCGAGUCGAACGAGACCUUCGGGUCUAGUGGCGCACGGGUGCGUAACGCGUGAGAACCUGCCCUUAGGUUCGGAAUAACUCCCCGAAAGGGGUGCUAAUACCGGAUAAUGUCUUCGGACCAAAGAUUUAUCGCCUUUGGAUGGGCCCGCGUUGGAUUAGCUAGUUGGUAGGGUAAAAGCCUACCAAGGCGACGAUCCAUAGCUGGUCUGAGAGGAUGAUCAGCCACACUGGGACUGAGACACGGCCCAGACUCCUACGGGAGGCAGCAGUGGGGAAUAUUGGACAAUGGGCGAAAGCCUGAUCCAGCAAUGCCGCGUGAGUGAUGAAGGCCUUAGGGUUGUAAAGCUCUUUUACCCGGGAUGAUAAUGACAGUACCGGGAGAAUAAGCGCCGGCUAACUCCGUG